ACUGGAGGCUAGUUGAGAGUUCGCAUCUCAAU
rnacentral:piRNA from 1 species